CGACCUCUGCCAUGUUCGACAGGGCUAUCGUUGGGGUUGACCCUACAAGCAUGACCUCCGGGGGCAAACUGAUUCCGGCCGCGUGUAUAUCCGCUUGCUUCGGCAACGGCUCACAUUAACCGGGUCAGUCGUUCCCACCUUACGGUUUUUGGUCAUUGAAUCCACCACAGCCCACCGGCAUUACGGCGGAGGUUUU
rnacentral:other from 1 species